UACAGAGGUCUCGAGCGUUAGGCGGAAUCACUGGGCUUAAAGCGUGUGUAGGCGGAUCGUUAAGUGCCUUGUGAAAUCCCACGGCUUAACCGUGGAACUGCUUGGCAUACUGGCGGUCUUGAGCAACCUAGGGGCGAGCGGAACAAAUGGUGGAGCGGUGAAAUGCGUAGAUAUCAUUUGGAACGCCAAUGGUGAAAACAGCUCGCUGGGGGUUUGCUGACGCUGAGACGACGAAAGCCAGGGGAGC
rnacentral:rRNA from 1 species